ACUAUUUUGGCAGAUUAGUGCAAUAAGUUUAGAAUUUAUAAAUAUAAUUUAUAUUAUAAAUAGUA
rnacentral:tRNA from 1 species